UACGAAGGGGGCUAGCGUUGCUCGGAAUCACUGGGCGUAAAGGGUGCGUAGGCGGGUCUUUAAGUCAGGGGUGAAAUCCUGGAGCUCAACUCCAGAACUGCCUUUGAUACUGAAGAUCUUGAGUUCGGGAGAGGUGAGUGGAACUGCGAGUGUAGAGGUGAAAUUCGUAGAUAUUCGCAAGAACACCAGUGGCGAAGGCGGCUCACUGGCCCGAUACUGACGCUGAGGCACGAAAGCGCGGGGAGCGAACGGG
rnacentral:rRNA from 1 species